GGGGAAUUUAGCUCAAUGGUAGAGCGCUCGCUUAGCAUGCGAGAAGUAGUAGGAUCGUGCCCACAUCUCCA
rnacentral:tRNA from 1 species